GAAUUUUAUAUAAAUUUUAUAUUAUAUUAAAAUUUAUUAAAUAUAAAAAAUUUUUUAAAUAGUUUAAAGUUUAUAUUUGAUUGGGAGGAUAUUUAAAUUAAAAGAACUUUAAAAUAAUAGAACAUUAAUUUAUGAAUAGUAAUUUGGGAUUAAAAUUUUGAGAAAAAAUUUUAUAAAAAAAUUAAUUACCUUAGGGAUAACAGCGUAAUAUUUUUAUAAAGAUCUUAUUGAUAAUAAUGAUUGC
rnacentral:rRNA from 2 species